rnacentral:antisense_RNA from 1 species
CUUGAUCGACCCCAGCAGCAACGGCUGACCGCCCAACCGGUCCUGCCCGUACGUCGCCAGCAGCGCCUGCGCCUC